UACGUAGGUGGCAAGCGUUGUCCGGAUUUAUUGGGUUUAAAGGGUGCGUAGGCGGUUUGAUCAGUCAGUCGUUAAAGGCAGCAGCUUAACUGUUGUAAGGCGAUUGAUACUGUCGAACUUGAAUUCGUUUGAGGUACUUGGAAUGCGUAGUGUAGCGGUGAAAUGCAUAGAUAUUACGCGGAACGCCAAUUGCGGAGGCAGAGUACUAGGACGAGAUUGACGCUGAGGCACGAAAGUGUGGGUAGCAAACAGG
rnacentral:rRNA from 1 species